GUCAAGUGAAUAAGCGCACAUGGUGGAUGCCUUGGCGAUAAGAGGCGAUGAAGGGCGUAGUAAUCUGCGAAAAGCGUUGGCGAGUUGAUAAACGAGCAUUAACCCAACGAUUCCCGAAUGGGGCAACCCAACCAGCGUAAGCUGGUUAUCCCAUACUGAAUACAUAGGUAUUGGGAGGCGAACCCGGAGAACUGAAACAUCUAAGUACCCGGAGGAAAGGACAUCAAUUGAUACUCCCCUAGUAGCGGCGAGCGAACGGGGACCAGCCGAGCCUUGAGAGUGAAUUGAAUGGUCUGGAAAGGCCAACCAUAGUGGGUGACAGUCCCGUAAAUGAAGCUCAAUAGGACGUAUUAAGUAGGGCGGAACACGUGAAAUUCUGUCUGAAGAUCGGAGGACCACCUUCGAAGGCUAAGUACUCCUUACUGACCGAUAGUGAACCAGUACC
rnacentral:rRNA from 1 species